CUGACUGCUGCCUCUGAGACUGGGAGGUUGAGGCCUGUGAUCCCGGAGGGGCUGAGGCGGGCAAGUGGUGGCUGAGCCUUCAGGCCCUUGUGGGGCCAUUGAGCUCCAAGGCAGGUAGGUCUCUAGCAGUCACGCAGUGGGUCAGAACUCUCAAAAACCUCCGGGCACAAUUUACGCAAGUGGAAGCCCAGUUCUGGAGACCUUCAUGGUCUCGAGAAACAGCAUGCUGCCUUCUACCAACCUAGAGGCAAACAAGUGGCAUCCCUCCCUGUUGGUCAACGGCUUUAACAAAUGUGAAUAUUCUCGGUAGGAGGAUCUGAGAAAAUGAUGACAUAGCACAGGGGCACUUUUCAGCGAUUGAGGAAUCUGUGAGUGUCCCCAUAGAAUUUGUCUUUAAGUCAAAGGAACAUUUUUUUCCAUUGAAGUUCGGACACACACAUACAAAAUGGUAUCAGUAUCAAAUGAUUCGGAUCCCUUCUCCAAAGGGGCCAGAAAUAAUAAGAGCGAUCUGUGUGGCUGAUCUACUGGAAAGAGGGGGAAAAACGUUUGUGAACAUUGUCAAGCAGCAGACAUGAUGGGGGGCUAGAAAUGUAUCCAGGUAUUAUUUGUUGUUUCUUUUAUUAAACCUAUUUCUCUUCUCUCAGGCCUAGACUCUGCUGCUGAUUUGAAGUUGGGAUAUUUUCCCUGCCAACUUUUGACCCCAAUGUCUGCAUCAUUCUGCCCCAAUGAUGAGGGUGAGGAUCAGUAUGAAAACACUGAUGAAGAGGAAGAGGAUGGAAAUGAAAAACCUGAAGGACUCUAAAUGGAUGUGGUCUCAGCAAAGAGCAGCUCUGGAUAAUACAGUGGGAAGGCAUAGAAAAAGCAGACAGCAAAAGAAAAGAUGAAUCUGUUCUUCAUGGAUAUUCUUGUUUUCAUUAGCCUGAAAUACUAAUUUUGUUUCAAAGUUUCAAUGCCCCAAAGUGAUAUUAACUACUGACAUCUGACUUUACUCUUACCUUUUACAGAUAAUUUGAUAGUAUUGUUCACAUUGGAAAUAAAAGCUUGUUUGAAAGUAAUAAGCUGUAGUUUUUUUUUUUUUUUUUUUUCACAUAAAUACCACUGACUCAAAUCUAUCAUUGUUCUAUUUAUUUUGGCCCACCUUACUGUCACUGAAAGGGAUUUCUUUCCGCUAUUUGUCAAGCCUGUUUUAAAUCCUUUUAUUGCAGCCCCAAAUAAAUUAAAAUAUAAGAUUGUAAAUAAUUUGUGGGAUGGUGCCCUAGCCUCUACUAUAUUUUAUUGAAAGGAACUGAUGGAUGACCUAGCUUGCCUGGAACAGCAGCAUCAGCAUCAGCUGGAAACUUGUUUGCAAUGCACAUUCUCAGACCCUGCUCCAGACCUACUGAGUUGGAAAUUCUGAGGGCAGGCCGCUAGCCAUCAGGGUUUUACAGUCCUCCAGGUGCUACUGAAGCACACUGAAGUUUCAGAACCACUGCUUUAGAGCAGUGGGGGAAAGGUUUGCUACACCCACUGCAGGAUCAUCCUUAACUCACUGACUUGGUACUGUUGCAGGUAAACUAAACAGGGUGGUAAGAUCUGGACUUAGGAAGACACUAGAAUUCUCAGGGGCUUGAGACACAAAGAGGGGUGUGUUAGUGUCCUAAGGUUACUGUAACAAAUUGCCACAAACCAGAUGGCUUAAAACAACAGAAAUACAUUAUCUCAGUGCUGGAGGCCAGAAGUCUGAGGUCAAGGUAUCAGCAAGGGUGAUCCCUUCCAGAGCCUCUGAGGGAGAUCUGUUUCAUGCCUCUCUCCUAGUUUCUGGUGGUCGGUGUCAGUCAUUGGCAUCU
ensembl:lncRNA